UCCCUGUUACCAGGGCAGUCUAGCUAGAAAAAUUCAACUAACUAUAAGGGUUGCGCUCGUUAAUGGACUUAACCAAACAUCUCACGACACGAGCUGACGACGGCCAUGCAUCACCUGUCACUACGGCCCGAAGGCACAUUCGCCUUUCGGCGAACUUGGUAGGAUGUCAAACCUGGGUAAGGUUCUACGCUUAUCAUCGAAUUAAACAACACGCUCCACCGCUUGUGCGGGUCCCCGUCAAUUCCUUUAUGUUUUAAGCUUGCGCUCGUACUCCACAGGCGGGAUGCUUAACGCGUUAGCUUCGCUACUACACGGGUCGAUACGUAUAACAGCUAGCAUCCAUCGUUUACGGCGUGGACUAC
rnacentral:misc_RNA from 1 species